rnacentral:rRNA from 1 species
AGAGUUUGAUCCUGGCUCAGGACGAACGCUGGCGGCGCGCCUAACACAUGCAAGUCGAACGGAGCUUAGAGAGCUUGCUUUUUAAGCUUAGUGGCGAACGGGUGAGUAACGCGUGAGUAACCUGCCCUAGAGUGGGGGACAACAGUUGGAAACGACUGCUAAUACCGCAUAAGCCCACGGUACCGCAUGGUACUGAGGGAAAAGGAUUUAUUCGCUUUAGGAUGGACUCGCGUCCAAUUAGCUAGUUGGUGAGGUAACGGCCCACCAAGGCGACGAUCGGUAGCCGGACUGAGAGGUUGAACGGCCACAUUGGGACUGAGACACGGCCCAGACUCCUACGGGAGGCAGCAGUGGGGAAUAUUGCACAAUGGGGGAAACCCUGAUGCAGCGACGCCGCGUGGAGGAAGAAGGUCUUCGGAUUGUAAACUCCUGUUGUUGAGGAAGAUAAUGACGGUACUCAACAAGGAAGUGACGGCUAACUACGUGCCAGCAGCCGCGGUAAAACGUAGGUCACAAGCGUUGUCCGGAAUUACUGGGUGUAAAGGGAGCGCAGGCGGGAAGACAAGUUGGAAGUGAAAUCCAUGGGCUCAACCCAUGAACUGCUUUCAAAACUGUUUUUCUUGAGUAGUGCAGAGGUAGGCGGAAUUCCCGGUGUAGCGGUGGAAUGCGUAGAUAUCGGGAGGAACACCAGUGGCGAAGGCGGCCUACUGGGCACCAACUGACGCUGAGGCUCGAAAGUGUGGGUAGCAAACAGGAUUAGAUACCCUGGUAGUCCACACCGUAAACGAUGAUUACUAGGUGUUGGAGGAUUGACCCCUUCAGUGCCGCAGUUAACACAAUAAGUAAUCCACCUGGGGAGUACGACCGCAAGGUUGAAACUCAAAGGAAUUGACGGGGGCCCGCACAAGCAGUGGAGUAUGUGGUUUAAUUCGAAGCAACGCGAAGAACCUUACCAGGUCUUGACAUCCGAUGCAUAGCACAGAGAUGUGUGAAAUCCUUCGGGACAUCGAGACAGGUGGUGCAUGGUUGUCGUCAGCUCGUGUCGUGAGAUGUUGGGUUAAGUCCCGCAACGAGCGCAACCCUUAUCCCCAGUAGCCAGCAUUUUGGAUGGGCACUCUGAGGAGACUGCCAGGGAUAACCUGGAGGAAGGUGGGGAUGACGUCAAAUCAUCAUGCCCCUUAUGACUUGGGCUACACA